rnacentral:rRNA from 1 species
UACACAUGCAAGUCGAACGAUGAAGCCCAGCUUGCUGGGUGGAUUAGUGGCGAACGGGUGAGUAACACGUGAGUAACCUGCCCCCGACUCUGGGAUAAGCCCGGGAAACUGGGUCUAAUACCGGAUAUGACCUCGCACCGCAUGGUGCGGGGUGGAAAGAUUUAUCGGUGGGGGAUGGACUCGCGGCCUAUCAGCUUGUUGGUGAGGUAAUGGCUCACCAAGGCGACGACGGGUAGCCGGCCUGAGAGGGUGACCGGCCACACUGGGACUGAGACACGGCCCAGACUCCUACGGGAGGCAGCAGUGGGGAAUAUUGCACAAUGGGCGAAAGCCUGAUGCAGCGACGCCGCGUGAGGGAUGACGGCCUUCGGGUUGUAAACCUCUUUCAGUAGGGAAGAAGCGAAAGUGACGGUACCUGCAGAAGAAGCGCCGGCUAACUACGUGCCAGCAGCCGCGGUAAUACGUAGGGCGCAAGCGUUAUCCGGAUUUAUUGGGCGUAAAGAGCUCGUAGGCGGUUUGUCGCGUCUGCCGUGAAAGUCCGAGGCUCAACCUCGGAUCUGCGGUGGGUACGGGCAGACUAGAGUGAUGUAGGGGAGACUGGAAUUCCUGGUGUAGCGGUGAAAUGCGCAGAUAUCAGGAGGAACACCGAUGGCGAAGGCAGGUCUCUGGGCAUUUACUGACGCUGAGGAGCGAAAGCAUGGGGAGCGAACAGGAUUAGAUACCCUGGUAGUCCAUGCCGUAAACGUUGGGCACUAGGUGUGGGGGACAUUCCACGUUUUCCGCGCCGUAGCUAACGCAUU